CGCCGGGGUAUGACGUCGU
rnacentral:miRNA from 1 species